GCAAGGAUGUAAACCUGGUUUCAUUGCUUAUAGCCUUCCAGGAUGUCCUAGAGAAUAGGAUCUUUGCAUAUGGGGAUAUAUCAGUAGUGCUAAGGGCAAGAGACCCGAGGCUGAACAAAAAAUUGACCAUCCCUGAAUUCGUACUAGGUUUUGGGAUCUAUAGGGAUGUUUACUGCUCAGUAUACCCGGGGAAAAGAGCAGAGCUGGAUGCAUACAUGCACAAGAUGGUGGACCUGGGGCACAAAUAUGGUGGUACCGCUUUUUACGAUUACCACUGUUCCUUUUCUGCAAAAGUGGCUGCGGCUCUGACUCAAUUUAAGCAUUAAUUGGAGCAAGUUGGACGCUGAGUUAUUCUGCAGGCCUCCAGCUUGUGCAGUUUGUGCAUCUACAGCACACCACACAAAUUUCUGCCCAAACACAGCAGAAAUUGAACAAAAUCAAACUACCUCUAACUUUCCAAAAUCUGCUAGGGGAUUAAAAGACAAACUGGGUAGGGAUAUUGUAUUUCUAGGUAAAUCCCAGGUUUGCAACAACUUUAAUGCGGGGAAUUGUGGUUUCAGCUCUUGCAAGCUGAUGCAUGUAUGUUCCCACUGUUUCAGGGCCCAUGCUAAGACUAUGUGCCCGAAUAAAGCGUUCCCCAAACCGUAUCACACGUGUGUGAACAUCACAUUAUUGACCUCGCUAUUACAGCUACACCCAUCACUCCAUUUCAUUGACUAUACUAUCACAGGAAUGACUGAGGGAUUUCACACUGGGUUGGUCCAUUUACCCUCUGGAACACUGGGAUGCGACAACCUACAAUCCAC